UUAGUAAGCGGUCUAAGAAAG
ensembl:piRNA 21ur-3402 ncRNA